rnacentral:rRNA from 1 species
AACGAACGCUGGCGGCAGGCUUAACACAUGCAAGUCGAACGAGAUCUUCGGAUCUAGUGGCAGACGGGUGAGGAACACGUGGGAACGUCCCUUUCAGUUCGGAAUAACGUUGGGAAACUAACGCUAAUACCGGAUACGUCCUUCGGGAGAAAGAUUUAUCGCUGAAAGAUUGGCCCGCGUCUGAUUAGCUAGUUGGUGAGGUAACGGCUCACCAAGGCUACGAUCAGUAGCUGAUCUGAGAGGAUGAUCAGCCACAUUGGGACUGAGACACGGCCCAACCUCCUACGGGAGGCAGCAGUGGGGAAUAUUGGACAAUGGGCGCAAGCCUGAUCCAGCCAUGCCGCGUGAGUGAUGACGGCCUUCGGGUUGUAAAGCUCUUUUGUCCGGGAAGAUAAUGACUGUACCGGAAGAAUAAGCCCCGGCAAACUUCGUGCCAGCAGCCGCCGUAA